CAAGGAAUUUUCCGCAAUGGGCGCAAGCCUGACGGAGCAACGCCGCGUGAGGGAGGAAGGCCUGUGGGUUGUAAACCUCUUUUCUCUAGGAAGAAGAUUUGACGGUACUAGAGGAAUCAGCAUCGGCUAACUCCGUGCCAGCAGCCGCGGUAAGACGGAGGAUGCAAGCGUUAUCCGGAAUUAUUGGGCGUAAAGCGUCCGUAGGCGGCUUAGUAAGUCAACUGUUAAAGACCGGGGCUUAACCCUGGGAGUGCAGUUGAAACUGCUAGGCUUGAGCGUGGUAGGGGUAGAGGGAAUUCCUAGUGUAGCGGUGAAAUGCGUAGAUAUUAGGAAGAACACCAGUGGCGAAGGCGCUCUACUGGGCCAUGACUGACGCUGAUGGACGAAAGCGAGGGGAGCGAAAGGGAUUAGAUACCCCUGUAGUCC
rnacentral:rRNA from 1 species